AGAACGAACGCUGGCGGCAUGCCUAACACAUGCAAGUCGAACGAGACCUUCGGGUCUAGUGGCGCACGGGUGCGUAACGCGUGGGAAUCUGCCCUUCGGUUCGGAAUAACAGUUAGAAAUGACUGCUAAUACCGGAUAAUGACGUAAGUCCAAAGAUUUAUCGCCGAAGGAUGAGCCCGCGUAAGAUUAGCUUGUUGGUGAGGUAAAGGCUCACCAAGGCUACGAUCUUUAGCUGGUCUGAGAGGAUGAUCAGCCACACUGGGACUGAGACACGGCCCAGACUCCUACGGGAGGCAGCAGGUGGGGAAUAGUUGGACAA
rnacentral:rRNA from 1 species